rnacentral:rRNA from 1 species
UACGAGGGGGGCGAGCGUUGUUCGGAAUUAUUGGGCGUAAAGGGUGCGUAGGCGGUUUGGUAAGUCUUAUGUGAAAUCUACAGGCUCAACUUGUAGUCUGCAUGAGAAACUGCCGGGCUUGAGUAUGGGAGAGGUGAGUGGAAUUCCUGGUGUAGCGGUGAAAUGCGUAGAUAUUGGGAAGAACACCGGUGGCGAAGGCGGCUCACUGGCUCGUAGCUGACGCUCAUGCACGACAGCGUGGGGAUCAAACAGG